rnacentral:rRNA from 1 species
CCCUUAGAUGUUCUGGGCCGCACGCGCGCUACACUGAUGCGUUCAACGAGUCUAAAACCUGGUCUGAUAGGGCUGGGUAAUCUUUUGAAUGUGCAUCGUGAUUGGGAUAGAUGAUUGCAAUUCUUCAUCUUCAACGAGGAAUGCCUAGUAAACGCAAGUCAUCAGCUUGCAUUGAUUACGUCCCUGCCCUUUGUACACACCGCCCGUCGCUCCUACCGAUUGAAUGUUCCGAUGAAUACCAUGGACUGAGAGUAUGAAUGGGUUCGCCUAUUUCUGCUUCUCGGGAAGUGGAGUAAAUCUUAACAUUUAGAGGAAGGAGAAGUCGUAACA